rnacentral:tRNA from 1 species
GGCCGGGUAGCUUAAGGAAAGCGCCGUUUUAACAUAGACGGAGAUCAGGGUUCAAAUCCCUGCCCGGCUACCA